GCCUAUGGUCCCACCACCCUGAAUGCACCCAAUCUCAUCUGAUCUUGGAAGCUAUCCGGGGCUGGUCCUGGUUAUUACCUGGACGGGAGACCGCCUGGGAAUACUAGGUGGCAUAGGCU
rnacentral:rRNA from 1 species